AGCGAACGCUGGCGGCAGGCUUAACACAUGCAAGUCGAACGGGCAUCUUCGGAUGUUAGUGGCAGACGGGUGAGUAACACGUGGUAACUUACCCGUCGGUUCGGAAUAACUCAGGGAAACUUGAGCUAAUACCGGAUACGCCCUUUUGGGGUAAGGUUUACUGCCGCAGGAUCGGCUCGCGUCUGAUUACCUUGUUGGUGGGCGAACGUCGUACCAAGGCGACGUUCAGUAGAUGGUCUGAGAGGAUGAUCCGACACACCGAGACUGAGACACGGCCCAGAAUCCUACGGGAGGCAGCAGUGCGGAAUAUAGGAACACGGGCGCAAGCAUGAUCCUGCCAUGCCGCGUGAGUGCUGAAAGCAUUAGAGUUCUAAAGCUCUUUUGUCCGGGACGAUAAUGACGGUACCGGAAGAAUAAGCCCCGGCUAACUUCGUG
rnacentral:rRNA from 1 species